rnacentral:rRNA from 1 species
UGGAAACUGUNUGACUUGAGUGCAGAAGGGGAGAGUGGAAUUCCAUGUGUAGCGGUGAAAUGCGUAGAUAUAUGGAGGAACACCAGUGGCGAAAGCGGCUCUCUGGUCUGUCACUGACGCUGAGGCUCGAAAGCGUGGGUAGCGAACAGGAUUAGAUACCCUGGUAGUNCACGCCGUAAACGAUGAGUGCUAGGUGUUAGGCCCUUUCCGGGGCUUAGUGCCGGAGCUAACGCAAUAAGCACUCCGCCUGGGGAGUACGACCGCAAGGUUGAAACUCAAAGGAAUUGACGGGGGCCCGCACAAGCGGUGGAGCAUGUGGUUUAAUUCGAAGCAACGCGAAGAACCUUACCAGGUCUUGAUAUCCCGAUGCUAUUCUUAGAGAUAGGAAGUUACUUCGGUACAUCGGAGACAGGUGGUGCAUGGUUGUCGUCAGCUCGUGUCGUGAGAUGUUGGGUUAAGUCCCGCAACGAGCGCAACCCUUAUUGUUAGUUGCCAUCAUUAAGUUGGGCACUCUAGCGAGACUGCCGGUAAUAAACCGGAGGAAGGUGGGGAUGACGUCAAAUCAUCAUGCCCCUUAUGACCUGGGCUACACACGUGCUACAAUGGUCGGUACAACGAGUUGCGAGCCGGUGACGGCAAGCUAAUCUCUGAAAGCCGAUCUCAGUUCGGAUUGGAGGCUGCAACUCGCCUCCAUGAAGUCGGAAUCGCUAGUAAUCGCGGAUCAGCACGCCGCGGUGAAUACGUUCCCGGGCCUUGUACACACCGCCCGUCACACCACGAGAGUUUGUAACACCCGAAGUCGGUGAGGUAACCUUUUAGGGGCCAGCCG